rnacentral:rRNA from 1 species
UGCGAACUCCUACGGGAGGCAGCAGUGGGGAAUAUUGCACAAUGGGGGGAACCCUGAUGCAGCCAUGCCGCGUGAAUGAAGAAGGCCUUCGGGUUGUAAAGUUCUUUCGGUAGCGAGGAAGGCAUUUAGUUUAAUAGACUAGAUGAUUGACGUUAACUACAGAAGAAGCACCGGCUAACUCCGUGCCAGCAGCCGCGGUAAUACGGGGGGUGCGAGCGUUAAUCGGAAUAACUGGGCGUAAAGGGCACGCAGGCGGUGACUUAAGUGAGAUGUGAAAGCCCCGGGCUUAACCUGGGAAUUGCAUUUCAUACUGGGUCGCUAGAGUACUUUAGGGAGGGGUAGAAUUCCACGUGUAGCGGUGAAAUGCGUAGAGAUGUGGAGGAAUACCGAAGGCGAAGGCAGCCCCUUGGGAAUGUACUGACGCUCAUGUGCGAAAGCGUGGGGAGCAAACAGGAUUAGAAACCCCGGUAGUCCAGAAGUG